rnacentral:sRNA from 1 species
UCCAUCGAAAAGGCAGGCCAAAAGUGGCCC